rnacentral:rRNA from 1 species
CCUACGGGAGGCAGCAGUGAGGAAUAUUGGUCAAUGGCCGGAAGGCUGAACCAGCCAUGCCGCGUGAAGGUCAGUGCCCUAUGGGCGUUAAACUUCUUUUGUGCGGGAGCAAUAAUGGUCACGUGUGGCCAGACGAGAGUACCGUACGAAUAAGCAUCGGCUAAAUCCGUGCCAGCAGCCGCGGGAAUACGGGGGAUGCAAGCGUUAUCGGGAAUUAUUGGGUUUAAAGGGGGCGUAGGCUGUGAGGUAAGUCAGCGGUGAAAUGCCCCCGCUCAACGGGGUGAAGUGCCAUUGAUACUGCCUGGCUGGAAUGCGGAUGCCGUGGGAGGAAUGUGUGGUGUAGCGGUGAAAUGCAUAGAUAUCACACAGAACACCGAUUGCGAAGGCAUCUCACGAAGCCGCGAUUGACGCUGAUGCACGAAAGCGUGGGUAUCAAACAGGAUUAGAUACCCUGGUAGUC